GAUGAACGCUGGCGGCGUGCCUAAUACAUGCAAGUCGAGCGAACAGACGAGGAGCUUGCUCCUCUGACGUUAGCGGCGGACGGGUGAGUAACACGUGGAUAACCUACCUAUAAGACUGGGAUAACUUCGGGAAACCGGAGCUAAUACCAGAUAAUAUAUUGAACCGCAUGGUUCAAUAGUGAAAGACGGUUUUGCUGUCACUUAUAGAUGGAUCCGUGCCGCAUUAGCUAGUUGGUAAGGUAACGGCUUACCAAGGCAACGAUGCGCAGCCGACCUGAGAGGGUGAUCGGCCACACUGGAACUGAGACACGGUCCAGACUCCUACGGGAGGCAGCAGUAGGGAAUCUUCCGCAAAGGGCGAAAGCCUGACGGAGCAACGCCGCGUGAGUGAUGAAGGUCUUCGGAUCGUAAAACUCUGUUAUUAGGGAAGAACAAAUGUGUAAGUAACUAUGCACGUCUUGACGGUACCUAAUCAGAAAGCCACGGCUAACUACGUG
rnacentral:rRNA from 1 species